rnacentral:rRNA from 1 species
UACGGAGGGUGCGAGCGUUGUCCGGAAUCACUGGGCGUAAAGGGCGCGUAGGCGGCCCGGCAAGUCGAUGGUGAAAGCUCGCGGCUCAACUGCGAGUCGGCCACUGAUACUGCUGGGCUAGAGCACUGUAGAGGCAGAUGGAAUUCCGGGUGUAGCGGUGGAAUGCGUAGAGAUCCGGAAGAACACCGGUGGCGAAGGCGGCAUCCUGGACCGAGAUUGACGCUGAGGCGCGAAAGCUAGGGGAGCAAACGGG